ACCUGGGUGACUUAGUUGGUUAAGUGUCUGCCUUCUGCUCAGGUCAUGAUCCCAGAGUCGUGGGUUCGAGCCCCACAUCGGGCU
rnacentral:tRNA from 1 species